GAGUUUUCAGGUUGGCUCCCGUAAGGGAGCCACGGCACACGAAACAGCUUUGAUUCCUUUUCAGCCCUGUUCCGUGUGCUGCAUUGUUGACGCAUUCAUUAAUUGGUAUCGCAUGAACCCCAUCGUAAUUAAUCGGCUGCAGCGAAAGCUGGGCUACACUUUUCAUC
rfam:Cronobacter sp. DJ34 Bact_A5_38, whole genome shotgun sequence.